GCCUUCCACCAUUAUUGUGAGACUUUCCCAGCCACGUGGAACUGCAUUUAUGAAGUAGGGACCUGGAAUUGAAGAGACUCCUAAAGGAGAGACAGAAGUUUGAAAGAGCAAGAAGAGUGGAUGUGGAUCCAGACAGAAAAAGAGAACAGCAAAUAUUUGAAAGAGCUUAAGACGUACUCCUCAAGGGGUUUCUCCUUUUGCGUCUUUCUCAUUUCUUUUGCUGCCACCGUGUAAGAAGUGCCUUUUGCCUCCUGCCAUGAUUCUGAGGCCUCCCCAGUCAUGUGGAACUGUACCACAGAUAGAAGCCUUGAGAAGCUUACUUUGGUCAGAAAUUUUGCCUUUGUCUGCAGGCUUCUACCAGUUCGAUUCCAUCUGUGGGUCUUAGGUUUCAGUUACCUGAAGUCAAAUGUGGUCCAAUACACAGACUGGAAUAAGAGACAUUGGAGACUCCAAAAGAAUAUUUUCUGGUAGACUGAUAUAUUUCUCCUAAAAAAUUUGGAAAAAUUUUGUGAUGAAGAAGCUACCUGGGCCUGAAGAUAUCUUUUCUGAAGAUGGCCAUCUACAAAGUACACAGAGGAUACCCACCUGUCACCGGAUCUGCCAGCACCUUGAUUGUGGACUUUCUUGUCUCCAGAAUCGUGAGACUUGUUUCUGAUCUGCGUGGGAAAGAAUUCAGUAUUUCUCCAUUUAAUAUGACAUUAGCUAUAGAUUUUUUAUAUGAUAUUAGCUAUAGAUUUUUUAUAGAUGCCUUGCAUUAAAGUGAAGAAGCUUCAUUUUCUUCCUAAUAUUCUGAUUUUUUUAUCAUAGAUAUGUUUUAUCUAAUUUAUUGAAAAAAUAAUUUCAAAAAUGUGUGGCCAGGCACGAUGGCUCACACCUGUAAUCCCAGCACUUU
rnacentral:lncRNA from 1 species